rnacentral:rRNA from 1 species
CAAUAGCGUAUAUUAAAGUUGUUGCGGUUAAAAAGCUCGUAGUUGGAUUUCUGCUGAGGACGACCGGUCCGCCCUCUGGGUGAGUAUCUGGCUCGGCCUUGGCAUCUUCUUGGGGAACGUAACUGCACUUGACUGUGUGGUGCGGUAUCCAGGACUUUUACUUUGAGGAAAUUAGAGUGUUUCAAGCAGGCGCACGCCUUGAAUACAUUAGCAUGGAAUAAUAAGAUAGGACCUUGGUUCUAUUUUGUUGGUUUCUAGAACUAAGGUAAUGAUUAAUAGGGAUAAUUGGGGGCAUUUGUAUAGUAACGUCAGAGGUGAAAUUCUUGGAUUGUUACUCGACAAACUACUGCGAAAGCAUUUGCCAAGGAUGUUUUCAUUGAUCAAGAACGAAAGUAAGGGGAUCGAAGAUGAUUAGAUACCAU